UGGGAGAGAUUUCGGAGAGCCGAGUGCAACGACAGACAGGGCCAGUGACCUGAGGGACCUGGUGGCCACCAGUUCAAUGGUUCAGUGUUCUUAAAUUUCAGAAAACCUUCUCUGCACCAGUCAUCAAUAUGGGACUCACCCCUCCUUGCUGGCGUGACAGUGGUCCUCAUUUUGGCAGUCAUCGCUGAAGUGACAGCAGUCCUUUGCGCACCAUUCGCUCUCUCUCUCUCCAUCUCAUGCUGAAAAGUAGUAAAUCUGCAAACCCCUGAAGAAGGUUGUCUGGGGUCAAGACUACACAGUGACCACAAACCUCAAGCACCACCUCCACAUCUUAGAAGGAAACAUCGUCCAGGACCUGCCUUAGUCGUGGUCACUCUUGUUCUUCUGAGACUAUACUGUGCUAAUGUGGCAACCGGACUGUGGGACUAUGUCUCACUAUCACCAAACCUGGGCCUUUCUUUUUUUAAUGGAAUUCGCUAAGUGUUCACUAUGCAUUUGGCUAGA